UGACUUACCUGGCAGGGGAGAUGCGAAGGUGAUCAUGAAGGUGGUUCACCCAAGGCUCUGUCAUUGCACUUCGGUGGUGCUGACCCUUGUGAAUUCCCCAAAUGCGGAAAUCUUGACUGUAUAAUUUCUGGUGGUGAGGACUGCAUUCACUCUCUCCCCU
rnacentral:snRNA from 1 species